GUGUCUAUAGUGAUCUGUGGCACAGACCACAAAUGAGCGCUCAGCGUACAGCACAGGUGAAUAAUUUAAGCGAUAAAAUUUUAGGUGGUUUUAAGUUUGAUGUUAAAAAAUAUAAUUAUUGUGGACUGUAGUUGUGUAUAAGUGUACAGUAAACUUGAAAGCUGAGGACUGGGUUUUUAAAGAUCGUAUUCGUACCAGAUUGAACCACUGCGAUGUCCUAACUCCUAGAAGAGAAGAGCCAAGAAUGCACCGUUCAUGAUGAAACUCUACCCCACCGGCCACUCGGGUCUCAAUGGCUACUUUAUGAUGUACCUCACCAAAUGGAAGCGAGUCGCAGUACUCCUGCUCAUCAUAUGGAUCGCUGUCACAUACCUUGUGAUAUCGCCGUUGAGAUGCGACAGUGGCACGGAGGAGUCGGCCGACUUUCAGAACAGACUGAAAUCCGUCUCGCAGCAACUCGAGUCGCUGAAACAACAACACAGCAGCCUCAUCUCGCAGAUAAAAAAGUCCACGGGAUUUAAAGUAAACCUCAACGACUUAGAAACGUCCGCUCUGCUUCACAAUGGCGGCGGUGCUUCGGAAGAGUAUGAGAAUCUCAGACGGAGAGUAUUCUCCAAUAGCAAAGAGUUAUGGUACUUUAUCAACCAUGAGCUGACAAAGCUCAAGGGUGAAGAUGGGCAGAGUGAGAAGAUACAGGCUAUAUUGGACCAAGUUGCUGACAGAAAGAGAUCACUAUUGUCGGACCAACAGAAGCUAACAGAGAUCGACGGCUACCACGAGUGGCGCAAGACUGAAGCCUCCAACCUCAGCGACCUGACGCAGCGUCGGCUGAGGGCGCUGCAGAACCCGCCCGACUGCAGGGACGCCAGGAAGGUCAUCUGCAACCUGAACAAGGGCUGCGGUUUCGGCUGUCAACUCCACCACAUCGUGUACUGCCUCAUAUUUGCGUACGCGACGGAGCGCACCCUCAUCCUCAACUCGAAGGGCUGGAGAUACAACAACAAGGGGUGGGAGUACGUCUUCCACCCCAUCUCUGACAGCUGCACCACGGCGUAUGACGAUAAAGUGGUCCAGUGGCCUGCCUCGUACGAUGCGAAGGUGGUGUCACUGCCGUUCAUAGAUUCAAUAACACAGAAGCCCAAGUUCCUGCCUCUAGCGGUACCUUCGGAUUUGGCACACAGGAUAGUCCGGUUCAACGGCGACCCCUCGUCGUGGUGGGUGGGGCAGAUGCUGAAGUACAUCCUCAAGCCGCGCGCCGCCAUGCAGAAAGCCAUCAACGACACCAUCGCCAAGAUGAACUUUAAAACUCCGAUAGUCGGGGUUCACAUAAGGAGGACGGACAAGGUGGGCACGGAGGCGGCGUUCCACCACAUAGACGAGUACAUGCUGCACGUCAAGGACUACUACGCGACGCUCGAGCUCACGCACUACGUGGACAAGCGACGAGUGUACUUGGCCACGGACGACGCUAACGUGUUAGAAGAUGCAAGAAAGAAAUACCCCGACUACGAGUUCCUGGGCGACCCGUCCAUAGCGAAGACGGCGGCGACGCACCGCAGAUACACGCCGCUGUCGCUCACCGGGCUGCUGGUGGACCUGCACAUGCUGGCCAUGUGCGACUACCUCGUGUGCACCUUCAGCAGCCAGGUGAGACCAACCUUUGACUUAACAGAGCUGAUGGCGGCUACCUUCAGCAGCCAGGUGGGUCGCGUGGCGUAUGAGAUGAUGCAGACGAACCGCGUGGACGCGUCCGACAGCUUCUACUCGCUGGACGACAUCUACUACUUCGGCGGACAGAACGCGCACGACCGGCGCGCCGUCAUGCCGCACAGCGCCGCCGGCUCGCAGGAGCUCUCGUUCCAGGUGCGUGCACUGAUGACGUGGUGGGUCUGAGCUCCAGACGUGCUGACAGCGUCCACUCGCUGGACGACAUCUACUACUUCGGCGGACAGAACGCUCACGACCGGCGCGCCGUCAUGCCGCACAGCGCCGCCGGCUCGCAGGAGCUCUCGUUCCAGGUGCGUGCACUGAUGACGUGGUGGGUCUGAGCUCCAGACGUGCUGACAGCGUCCACUCGCUGGACGACAUCUACUACUUCGGCGGACAGAACGCGCACGACCGGCGCGCCGUCAUGCCGCACAGCGCCGCCGGCUCGCAGGAGCUCUCGUUCCAGGUGCGUGCACUGAUGACGUGGUGGGUCUGAGCUCCAGACGUGCUGACAGCGUCCACUCGCUGGACGACAUCUACUACUUCGGCGGACAGAACGCUCACGACCGGCGCGCCGUCAUGCCGCACAGCGCCGCCGGCUCGCAGGAGCUCUCGUUCCAGGUGCGUGCACUGAUGACGUGGUGGGUCUGAGCUCCAGACGUGCUGACAGCGUCCACUCGCUGGACGACAUCUACUACUUCGGCGGACAGAACGCUCACGACCGGCGCGCCGUCAUGCCGCACAGCGCCGCCGGCUCGCAGGAGCUCUCGUUCCAGGUGCGUGCACUGAUGACGUGGUGGGUCUGAGCUCCAGACGUGCUGACAGCGUCCACUCGCUGGACGACAUCUACUACUUCGGCGGACAGAACGCGCACGACCGGCGCGCCGUCAUGCCGCACAGCGCCGCCGGCUCGCAGGAGCUCUCGUUCCAGGUGCGUGCACUGAUGACGUGGUGGGUCUGAGCUCCAGACGUGCUGACAGCGUCCACUCGCUGGACGACAUCUACUACUUCGGCGGACAGAACGCGCACGACCGGCGCGCCGUCAUGCCGCACAGCGCCGCCGGCUCGCAGGAGCUCUCGUUCCAGGUGCGUGCACUGAUGACGUGGUGGGUCUGAGCUCCAGACGUGCUGACAGCGUCCACUCGCUGGACGACAUCUACUACUUCGGCGGACAGAACGCGCACGACCGGCGCGCCGUCAUGCCGCACAGCGCCGCCGGCUCGCAGGAGCUCUCGUUCCAGGUGCGUGCACUGAUGACGUGGUGGGUCUGAGCUCCAGACGUGCUGACAGCGUCCACUCGCUGGACGACAUCUACUACUUCGGCGGACAGAACGCGCACGACCGGCGCGCCGUCAUGCCGCACAGCGCCGCCGGCUCGCAGGAGCUCUCGUUCCAGGUCGGUGAUUUGAUCGGCGUCGCCGGCAACCAUUGGAACGGUUUUGGGCGUGGAACCAACAAGCGAACUAACUUGAAUGGCCUUAUCCCGUGGUACAAGACCGCGGACCACCUGGUGCUGUAUCCCUUCCCGGAGUACAAGCACGUGCCUCAGUACUCCGACACGAGACAGAAGGACUUAUAGACCAUUGUAUUCUAGUACGUCACGCGGACCGCGUUCAAUAUAGCAUUCUACUCGUUAAUACAAUCUGUAUGAGAGUUAAGUUACUGAUCAUAUUAUAUUGUAUAUUAUAAAUAAAAAGGGACCCAAAGUUGAACCUUGAGAGACACCCAUUAAAAUAGAAAAGUAUGAAUUUUAAGUUACUUAUUAAUUUGUUUAGUAGUUUUAUAUACUCUAACCAGUGACGGUCACAAAGUUUUUAACUAGGAUAAUAUGCAUAAUAGUUACAAAAUGGAAAAUUACUUCUGCAAUACAUAGUCAAUGGCCAAGUUACACAUCAAUUCUCUUUCAACAAACGUUAACGCUUCAAAAACUAAAUGAAACAAUACUUUAAAUAAAAAAACGACUGCAUAAAACAUAAAAACCGAAAAUAAAUGAAACAAUAAUUAUAAUUAUUCUAAACAGAAAUAUAGAAAGCAAUAAUUAAAAAACAGCUGGGACCAAUACUGAAUAGGAUGAUUUUUGUGUGUUAUUAUUUUAUGGAUUGAUCUCGACUGUUUUCUAAAUGCUUUCUACACAGUAAUUGGGUAAAAAUGUAUGGGAAUGACAUUCAAUAUCGAUAGUUCACGUGAUCAACCUAUAAGAUGGAUAAUUUAUCCCCAUUCAUUUAUUAUUUUUUGAAGCGUUAGCGUUUGUAGAAAGCGAUUCGAUUGUGUAACUUGGCCACAGGUCCAGGUUUGUAAUGAGUCCACAGCACAUAAACGGCAUUUUCGCGUCUAUGAAAGGCACCCACGGACUUUCAUGAUUGACGUAAUCAAAUGCUUACGGCAGUUCACAAUACAAAUGUGUUAUGUUUUUUUGCACAAAAGUAAAAGUAUCCAGUUAUGUGUUAGACAAAUUAAUCUCAAACAUUAAAUAUAUUCAGCAUUACCUAAAUAUAUCGAUCAGUAACAGAUUUCAAAAAGUAGAAAGUUCUGUGAAAGACAAUAGUGUUCAUGUUGCUAUAUUUGGACGCGGUCUAAAUGCGUUUUAGUACGAGAUCCGGCAUAAGGAAUAUAUACCCUCAUCUGUUAUUUAUUUGUGAUAAGAAAUAAAUAAUGGAAAAUAUCCACAUUGACACAUUGCAAAUAGGUUGUCAAGUAAAAUUACGGAGUAUUUUAAUGAUAUUUUUUUUUAUUAAAUUUAUUUAAUCUACAAUCUCUUUGCUUAAUUAAUAAAAAUCAUACACUGGUUAAAAUAAUAAUAUACCCAACAGAAUUAACAACGUUGCGGUUGCUUCUUUCACAUUGCAACUGUGGGGUUGCCAGAUAUAAACAGUUAAUUAAUGUUUUAUACUCUCAUCCAUUAUUUAGUCGUCUAAUAUGUCAAAUGAAAGCUUAUUUUAUGCUUCAUUUUACUGUAUUACGUUGCCUUUGUUCUGGUUAUUAGAUCUAUCUAAAUAUUCAACUACCUAUUUAAUAUGUGUCAAUGUGAAUGUUUUCUACAAUUUAUUUCUUAUCCCAAAUAAAUAACAGAUGAGGGUAUAUAUUCCUUAUGUCUGAUCUUAGACUAUAUAUUGUUAACAUAAGCUUAGCCGAAUUACAUACGCUAGAGUUUAGUUGUUAAUGGAAUUUGUGAUUUGUGAUGUUUGAAUAUUAAGUUCAAAUUCGCUUGCGUUUACACGGUUCGGUAUGCACAAGCGAUUAGACUGGCGGUUAGAAUUCGAAGGACGCAAAUCUGUUAACUAUGUUAUUGAUAGACAGUAGUUUUUAUCCUUUUCAGAAUGUUAAAUGUAGAAAAGGAUGGCAAUAUAUCGUUUUGAGUGUACGUUACGUUACGUUUUGGCUGAUGGGAGGCUUUGGUCGGCAAAGACGUAUAUCGUGAUUAAUCGAUCUUCGCAUGUUGUGUUUCGUUUAGAAUUAAUUAUAUUGCACAAGUUUAGAUGUGUUUUUUGUACUAUGAAUACGUAUAGUUUGCGCUGUAUAUGUUACAGUUAAAUCGUAAAAUACGUUAGUUUAUAAUCUCACUCGUGAUAUUAUAAUCUGCCGUCAUAUUGUGAACUGAAAGUGCUGACUACAAUUUAACGUGUUAUUUUUCGGUAUAUUCAGUCAACUGUCCGAACUUGCCCCUGGUAGGUCGGCCUUACAGCAGACCGUUGUGUCCAUAGAAUUAUGAAUAAAAUACAUAUGUCAAAUAAAAUACUUCAAGAUUUGUGACAUCACGUAUUUAUUUAUUAUAGCUAAAGACAAAUGUAAGUGCGAGAGUUUUUGUUUUCUAACCUAACCUAACUUGAGAUUUGACAAAAUUAUACUUAUAAUUAACAAUAACAACAUUUUACUAAUGGAAGAACAGUGUUUAUAAAAUUAAGAAACGCAGUGGCCACCCCUCCGAUUUUCUUUCUUUUUCUUUUUUCUUUGAUUUGUCUAUUGUAAUUUUUUUACUACUUUUAUUAUGCCCGCUGUAAUAUUUAUGUAACUCUAUGGUAAAUUUAUCCUGAUUGACAAUUUAACGGUUACACUUCAAUAGAUUAUAAUAUACCGGAAAAUAACACGUUAAAUUGUAAUCAGUAUGUUCAGUUCACAAUAUAACAACAGAUUACAAUAUCGCGAGUGAGAUUAUAAACUGACGUAUUUUACAAUUUAACGGUGACAUAUACACGAAGCUGCAUGUGAUAAACUAUGGUGGUGCCAACGUCAUAUACAGAGUGCUCGGAAGUAUUUCUCAGAACUCUAAAGGUUUCUUUAACAAAAAAUAAUUCAAAAUGUUCAAGGAACAUGUGUUGUAAAAUUAAUAUUUUCUUAUUAUUUUUAAAUGAGUAAAUAAUAUUUCUUUUAUAAAUAGAUCUUAAAAUGUGUCAUUAUACGCAUUCUUAGGAUAAUGACGUAUUUAUAUUUGAAAAUGCAUUUGUUGCUUAAAGGCGUGUGUUAUAUGGAUAGUCGGUAUUGUUUGAAUUACUUUGUAUGAAAACACAUAUAUACUCAGAGGCACAGUUAUCCGCCCACUUUAAUAUACUCGCGUCAUAUUAAAGUGGGCGGAUAAUUGUGCCUCUGAGUGUAUAUAUUUUUGCAGUUAAAAAAAUAUUAGUUAUGCAAUUCAGUCACUAUAUGUGGUCACGUUAAUACCUUGAAGUUAUGGGAGAUACUCCGGAGCACCCUGUAUAUAUUCUUUAUUUUAUGGUGCACGUACAAGGUGGCAUUUAGGAGCACGUAUAAUUUGACGCAACCUUUGUGACGUAUCGGAACAUCGUGCGUUAACCUGUGCAAUACAAGAUUUUAGGUGUCAGCGGUAACGUAGGAGCGCGGCGACAGGGUUUACACCGAGCGCGACAGUCGCCUUUGUAUGUGACCUGCGCGUAGCGAUAUACGAAGCAUAUUUUUGGAGAAAUAAUUCUUUAAACCGAAACAUAAUUAUAAUCGCAUUAGAUCGUUGAUCAUAUACUUUGACAGAACAGUAACGUCUAGCGAGGCAGGUCCUAUACUUAUUGGUCUGAAUAUUUCCUGGACGUCAGAAAGAUUGCAUCCGAUUAUACAAGGUGGCAUUUAACGGAGGGCAAUUAAAAACUAAUUUACCUGGAUGGCUGCUAACUAAUUUACCUGAUGAGUCAUCUACAGGUGCUCAAUACUUCACUGAAUCGAAUUAUAGCGCCUAAAGGGUUUAUUAUUUUUAUUUAUUUAAGCUAACACAUAAAUGUUUUUAUUUAAUUUAACUAACAUAGGCCUAUCUGUAGACUUUAAGAAAGAUAAAACAAAAUUAUCUUUUCUUCUAUUUGCAAGUUAAAAACUGUCAUUUUAAUAUUAACAUCUUAGUUUAAUUUUACACAAUCGGCAAUAUGCAUGUAAUUUGAAUUAAAGGAAGAAUUAAUUUACUCAGGAAUUUUAGUUGUUAAAAAAAUCCAGUUAAUUCAAUGUAAUGUUCGCUAUUGGUCGGUUAUAAAAGUGACAUUCGCUAUUGGUCCGUUAUAUAAGUGGUAUUAUUUAUUUUUAUUUAAUUUUUUAUUAAAAUGAAAUUAGAAUGUUUCUGACAACCAAACUGUGUUUUGAAUGCUUAAAAUAUAAUAAAAAAUUCCCGGUAAAGUCAAUGUAAUGUAUUUACUGGUCCGUUAUAAAAGUGAAGAAACGGUAUUAUUUUAUUUAACAUUCUAAUUCUAAAAUUUCAUUCAGAAACAUUUUAAUUAUAAAAAUUUGAAUUAGAAUGUUUCUGACAACCAAACUGUAUUUUGAAUGCUUAAAAUAUGACAUUUGUUUGUGUAUUUUCUUCUCUCGGGCCCGCAAGGGCCCGGGGGGAGACACGACCGGGGCUUCCGCCCCCUGCGUGUGGUCACUCUACGCGUAGUGUAAACACACUACGGUCCUUGGAUGAACCUCCGGGUGGAGGUAUUAGAUUUGCUUCUUCUUAGCGUUUAUAUUGUCUUCUCUUCUUUCUAUAGUGUCCUUUAAAGGCCUUUCGGAUUGAAGCCAUUUGUUAUUUCCUUCCUCUUAUUGGUUCCCUAACAGGAUGUCUCUGGGUAGAGCCAACCUGUCAGGGGGGCGGGCAUGCCACGGCGCUAUAUCCCUAAUAUGGGGAUGUAGCGCCGUUUCAGUUCGGGCAUAAGCUCUGAUUGCCUGGUCUUUGAUGACUUCAUCUAGCGUCUCUAUUCGGAGGUCUCGCUCGAUUGUACGGUUUCUCACGAAUCGAGGGGCUUGCGUUAUUUGUCUUAGUGCCUUCGACUGUUGGGCUCUCAGGGUUUUUCUGUUGUUUUCACCUGCUAGGGAGUACCACGCCGGUGUUGCGUAAGUAAGGAUGGGGCGUAUGUAUGUGACAUUUGUUUAUAUUUCACUAAAUAAUAAUGGUUCCAGUCGUUUUCAAAACAACAUCAAAAAUCUUAGUUUUGCAAUGUCAUAAAUAGAUGAAAAACAUAUUAAAAUCGGACUAUUCAGUAAAAAGUUACACGUGUUCUUACAUAAAAAAAAUUACACGUCGAAUUUUUAACCUUCUCUCUGUUUUCGUCAGUUGAAAAUACAUGCAUAUUCCUCAUUGUUUAUUUCAAAAUACUACUCAAAUUAAUUUAACAACAUAAUGUUUAUUAUUUUACUGUUAUACCAAUUAAUUUAAUGUAACGAAGUUGUUAAUUUUAUUAAUUUUACAUCAUUUAUUUCAAAGUUGCUCUACUCAAAUUUAUUUAAGAACAUUUAAUUAUUUUACCGUAAUUACGAUCCAGCUCAAAUUAUCGAGAUUGUUUAUUUUUAACUCAGUUUAAUUUAGCAACAGUGAUUAUUUAACUUUAAUUCUGUUAAUUUUAAUAACAUUGAUUUUUUAUCGAUAUUAUUAUUUUUUUAUAGUAAUCUAUAAAAUCAUUUUACAAUCAAUUUUUUUUAAUGACAGUUUAAUCGUAUAAUUCCUAUAAAGUUGAUUCCGAGUAACUUCACAUUCCUAAAAUAUCAGUUUCGAUCGAUUAAAAAAAUAUACUUUUUUUUGGGGCUUAUUUAAAUACAUAAGUACUUGAAAUUAUAUUAAAAUCUCAUUAUUUUGGACCUGAUAUGAUCUGAGUGUGUAACCAAAAUUGGAUUUAUUUAUCUAUAUUUUAUUUAACAUAUUUUUUCGAAUAUAACCAAAAAAUCGGAAUAUUUACACUAAACAUUAAUUUUACUAUAAUGAAGGUAGUGGUUUUAAUUUUUGAAUUUAUUCAAUGUUUAUGUUUCUUUUUCUUAUGAAACAUUAUGAAUACCUAUGAAUAUUUUUAACAAAGUCUCAAAAACCUGUAGUUGUGUGAUUUAUGGAAACAAGUAGCAUGCGUACUUUCAUGUAUUUAUAAUUUUAUACAUAUAAAAACGAAAAAUUGUUUUUUUUUUUAUUUUUACUGUUAGGUACCUACCCCAGUAAAAAACUGCGUAUUUAUAAUAUACAUCUUGUACUUUUUCUCGUAUUUUAAAUAACGCUAGUUAAAUUAAUUUGUUUAUUGAUAAGUUAUAAAAUAUAAUUUAUGGAUAUUAUGUUAAUAUGUAUUAAUAUAAUAAAGUUCAAUAUUACGUUUAAGUAUUUUAAUUAAAAAGUGUGCUAUAGACGAAAAUAUAACACCUAUAUUCUAUACUGUAUUUUCAUACAUAGAGCAUGUAAACGUACAAAUUAAUUUUUUACUCUUUAUAAUAGUAAUGAUAUAGCCGAAUCACAUUAUAAGAACUUUCAAAUAUUGUUGAUAAACCUAACACACAAAGCGUUAUGCCAUCUUUUCUCCUACACAUGGCUAGGGUCUGGGUCUCUAGCCACGUUACAAAUCGAUUGUCUUUCUACAAACGCAAACGCUUGGAAAACUAAAAACUGUAUGGGAACGACAUUCGUGAUCGAGACGUCACGGGAUCAACCAAUCGAUCUAAUAUGAUAUUCCCAUACAUUUAUUUUCAAAGAGUUAGCUAUUGUAGAAAGUGAAUCGAUUUAGGAAUGUGUCUGUCUUGUUUUCUUACAAUUUGGAUAUUAUUAUUGUUAUAAAGAUACCCAAAAAGAAAGAAAGAGUGAACAGACAAUUUCAAGCAAUCGCGGUCCAUCAUACGUCACAUCAACACUUACCAUGUUAGAUCUUGGUCAAGCGUGAUCUUAUUUUAUAUAUUUAAAAAAAAAUUUAAAUAAGCCAUUUCCCAGCUUUCUACAAACGCUUCGAAAGUUUAAAAAUGUAUGGGAAUGACAGUCACUAUCGUCAGGUCACGUGAUCACUGUCGAUCGGAUCUGUCAUUCCCAUACAUUUUGUUAGAUUUCGAAACGUUAGCGUUUGUAGAAAGAGAAUCGACGUGGCCCUGGUUUAGAGAAGUAGUACAAUGUCAGGCUUGCAUGUCUGUCUAUGGUACAGUUGCUGUAAGAAGUUCUUAUAAUGUGUGACAGCUUAUUUUUGAAUUGGAAGUCAUUAUGUUUACUCGUAAUUAUGUCAAUGUCCGUGAUCACAAACAUUGCAAUGUAUACGGUCCAUUACAACGCUAAAGUCUGUCCCGCCAAUCAGAUUACCGAUAAAUGACGUGAUAUUAAAAUUCAGGGAUCUUAUUGGUGGAAAUACAGAGUAAUGUUUGAGAACACGCGGUUGACCCUUUAUUUACCGCAUAUUAAAGUCUAUAUUCGUGUAGCAAUUGUUUAUUGUUAAGGCUGGUGUACAUGGAAUAUAUUUUAAAACAAAUAUUAUGUUUUAUAUUUUUAUUGUUUGGACAUAUCAAGCGGAGUUUCUUGACUAAUUUAAUCCAAAAAAAGAAUUAAAAGGAAUGACCAGAACUGUAAUUUUCCAUAUAAAUAAGAUCAGUUAAGCCUUAAUGGUUUUUAGUGGUCGUGUUUUUAAUCUUAUUGACUGGUGUACACUUAGCCUUAUUGUAUAGUACGGGACGUUUGUAUCGGACGCUUUUGGACGAUGUAAUUAAUGUAUCUAAUAUGGACCUAAACUGUGUGUAUAUAGCUUUAGUGUACAUAAAAAAGAAUAAUAUAAAUAAAUAAUUUUAAAUUUU